GUGAAAUAGAAUCUGCCUUAAUUAGUGGCAGCAAGCCCCUGAAUAGAGGAGAACACCCCCAAGUAUGAGAUGUGAAGUGCUGUUGUCAGGGAGAAAGAAUCCUCAAUGCCAGAGCUUCAUUUGUGAAGCAUUGCACAGGGAGCUGCACUUAUACAAAGUGGUUGUUACAACUUCAGGAGCGUCCAUUCUGAGCUCCCCUAUUAUUCCACAAGCGGGCAACUGGCUUUCAGCAAGAGUCGUUUCUAUAAAACGCAUCAGAGGAGCUAUUUAAGAACAACACAAACCUCGAUGAAGCCCCGGUGUGUGUUUCUAGAGGUUAUUCUUGGAGGAUUUUCCCUCCCAAGGAAAGCCGGGCAAUGAAGGGUAGACGCCGAGCAGAACGUUUUUCCCUAGAUGCACCAAAAUAUUCACUCAAAGAUCAGCAGCAGCUUUCUGCAAAUCCCCAAGCUUAGGCGUGCUUGUUGGACCCUUGACUCUUCCGUGGAGUUGGUUCUUCCCAGAUUAAGCCCAGCCCAACCAGGGAAUCGCUCAAACCCACGCGGAUGCGGCGCCGAGCCGCGGCCCCAGCGCUGCCCACGGCGCCUUAUCUCGGUGUACAAUCAUGUAGCAGAUCAUGUAUUCAUUUGUAUCAUUAAAUAAAGACUACCAGAGCCCUGGGCCCAGGCGAGCAGGAGGGAUGCUCAGAGGAUCAUGGGUUCCCGGCAUGCCCCGCUCCCCUUGGAAAGGCGCUGACUCACUCCCCGAGCAAUCAGCGUUGUGUGCCAUUACAAAUGGGCUGGUUAAUAGGCCUGCAUCCAUUAUCAUUAGUGCAUCUCAGCACGCAGGUACAUGAUGGGGCCUGCCAGCGCAUUUGCUCCAGCUCACUGAGCCAGGGGCCAUGCUCCAUUGCAAAUGAGGAUGAGGAACACCUGCUCCAGGGUUUUUCGGCAGACCGGAGUCAUCCUUCACAUCUCAUGCAACACUUGUUCUGUCAGAAUGCAAUGCUGGCACCGGCCGGAGCGGGGCUGUGCCAGGCGUCCGACUAAAGAUUAGACACUUCCCUGUGGU